CCUACGGGGGGCAGCAGUAGGGAAUCUUUCACAAUGGGCGAAAGCCUGAUGGAGCAACGCCGCGUGCAGGAUGAAGGCCUUCGGGUUGUAAACUGCUUUUAUAAGCGAGAAAUAUGAUGGUAACUUAUGAAUAAGGAUCGGCUAACUACGUGCCAGCAGCCGCGGUCAUACGUAGGAUCCGAGCAUUAUCCGGAGUGACUGGCUGUAAAGAGUUGCGUAGGUGGUAUAAUAAGUAGCUAGGGUAAUCUGGUGGCUCAACCAUUCAGACUAUUAGCUAAACUGUCAAGCUCGAGACCGUUAGGGGUAAGUGGAAUGUCUAGUGUAGGAGUGAAAUGCGUAGAUAUUAGAAGGAACACCGAUAGCGUAGGCAGGUUACUGGGACGGUUCUGACACUAAGGCACGAAAGCGUAGGGAGCAAACAGGAUUAGAUACCCCUGUAGUC
rnacentral:rRNA from 1 species